AUCGACUAUCCAACGUAAUAUUAUUAUCUAACUUUUUAAUUUAAUUAACUUGAGUUAGUCAACGAUACUUUGAUUUCAAAUUCUGAAUACGUCAUUUAUCUUUAGAAAUUUAGUUUAUAUAUUUUAUGCAACUCUCGUAACUGUAAGUUUUUAAAGCAAGCGAUUAGCUUACACUUUAAAGUUAAAUAUCAUUAAUUAUCUCAAAUCAAACAAAUUAAAAGAUUAGAUAGUAAAAUCAAAAUUUUAAAAAGUCAGACAAUCGACUCAAAAUGGUCUAUAGUUUAGAUAAAUUUUAUUGUAUAUAAUUUGUACGAUUUCACUAGAAAAUGAAGAAUUAUAUCUCUGUAUGUAGCUCUAACUCUUUACAACCCAACAAAUCAGUAGGCAAAUGCUAUAUAUACAUCCCUUGAAUCCAAGGGUUUGUAAAAACCCUUAGUUGUUUAGUAUUUUUUAAGAAAUCAUGUGAUAAGUGAUAUGAUCCUAGCUUUCUAAGAAUUAAAUGUAAGAUAUACACGCAGGAAUAAGAUGUACAAAUAGCAUUACUUUAGGUAGACCCUCCUACCUUAUUUGGUUCAGGAAUAAGAAGGGGGAUAGCACCUUAUCCCCUUUAUACUCAAAUGCAAAUUUCGUAUCCGAGAAUUAGAAUAGUAGUUUUCGGGUAUCUAACAUAAGCUUGUAUAACUCUGUAUAAGCUUGAAAUUGCUGUUUCAACCUUAUCCCUGAAACAAGCGAGAACAAUAUUAAUUAAACUCUAAUUAAUUUUAAUUAUAAUAUUAAAUCAUGAAUUAGUCUAAUUAAUAUUUUUAAAUCAUUAAUUAAUCUAAUUAAUAUAUCUAAAAAUUAUUAAUUAAUCUAAUUAAUAUUAAAUUAUUAUUCCUUGAUAACCCAGGAACACCGGUUGGGAACAGUUGUUCCCACCCCUAUUUUUAUUUUUAAAAUUUAAAUUUAAAAAAAUAAAAUCUAAAUUUUAAAAUUUUAAAAAUAAAAUCUAAAUUUUAAAAUUUUAAAAUUUAUUAAUUUGUAAUUUCAAAAUUAAAUUUUAUAAUUUUAAAUUCUAAAGUUUAAAUUUUAAAUUUCAAAUUUUAAAAUUGUCAAAUUUUAAAUUUGACAUUUUAUAAUUUUCAAAUUUAAAUGUGAUAUUAAAUUUAAAGUUUAAAAUUCAAGAUUUUAAAUUUUAAAAUUUUAAUUUCAAAUUUUGAAAUUUAAUAGUUACAAUUUUAAAUUUUAAAAACAUAUAUAUAAAUUUAAAAUUAAAAUUCAAAUAUAAAGAGGGAGGGCAAUAUCAUAUUUUCUAUUUAUAACUAUCCACUAUUCUUCUUCUUCCCUCUUAUCUAUUCAAAUGUUUUUUCUUUUUUUUUCGGAAACAAUCUAAUUUUCAUCCAAACUUAAAAUUAGCCAAGUUAUUUUUCUUAUAUCUGAUUUUGUAUCUAUUUUUAAAAUAAUCACAUUUUACUUAUAUCUGAGCCAAAGAAUACCUCAUAUAUUUAU
rnacentral:lncRNA from 1 species